GCCAGGAGCACCCACCAGCAGCAGUUCAGGGAUGGACUGUAGCCCCGGGCUGCGUGCAGGGGCCCCACUGUCACAGGUGUGGCUGAGCCCACUGUGCUCCUGGGGCAGAGGCGGGGGCCAGCGCUUGGCUGACAGUCACCGAGCAAGCAGAGAACUGCUCCAGAGAGAUGCUGGGCCUUCAGAGGCCCCUCGGGAGUCCUAAGAUUCUGCUACAGGAAAGAGAACUGAUUAUCUUAUGUAACAUUCCUGAGUCCAGAUUCUGAUGGAAACCUCUUCAGAAAGGGUAAAGGACUUGCUGGAGGUCACAGUACUUUCAUGUCAGGACUAAGCUCAGGGCCAGGUGUCCAGGUUUCAACCCUGGUGCUCCCGCUGGCAUACCCCUGCCUUCCAAAGGAAUUCGGAGCGCAUCUCAUCUGCUGUCUUGGCUCUCAUGUAAGCCCUCUCCCAAGCCUGCUCCCUGACCCACUGGCCUUCUUUGGGAAGGACUGAAGCUCUCCCAGCCCUCCUCAGGCUGCAAGGCUGCUUGGUGCAAAAGAGGAGAGCCAGGUUGGGGCCAGCACACCUGCAUCCUGGUCCCACCUCCCCCACUGUGUGCUCUGGGAGAUGCUCACCCAGACCCAGGCCCAGAGGUCGGUCGGUAGCCGUAAAGGAGAGCAGAGCCCAGCCCACACCUCGGAGGGAGGCGGACGCUGUCCUGCAGCCUGGCGGGGGGCCCACCGCGAGGUCCGGGGGCAGCAGGCUGGGGCAGGCUGGCUCUGGCUCUGCGAUGCCAGGAGUUGAGUGAGAAAGGUGUGGACCACCCCGAUGUCAGCCACCAGCCCCCCUCUCCCCAGGAAAACCACUUCCAACUGUACAAACAAUGUGACUGCAGUCCCCGGGGUCGGGGGGAUGGAGUGGGCAGUGGUGUUUGUAGAAGAAGGUUUUGCAGGAGGAGGGAGGAGGUCACUCUGCUGGCUGAGCCCUUACUCAGGUCAGGGGUGUCCAUCCUCACCACAGCCCCAGGAAAGGGCAAGUGUCCACCUGUCACCGAGCCCCAGAGAGGUUAAAUGACUUGCCUAAGACCACCGAGCCAGGGAAUGGCAGAGCAGGGGUUCGAACCGCAGGCUCUGGUGGACCUGCGUUCGGGUGCUCUUCUGAGACUACAACGGCCUAUUCCUUGGUGCUUGGAAUCAUAAAAUUGCUUUGCUGGAAACUUUCCCAAACAUGGGAGGAACGGACAGCACGGAGGUUGGAUUCUCUUCCUGUGGAGUUCUGCCAAGAGGUCAAAGUCACCACAAGGUCAAAGGCAGGAAAAGACAGUCAACAGACCCAGGAUAUAAGGAGCCCCUCUACCCAGGCAUGGGCCAGCACUUACAGACACUGUGUAAGUCUCAGGGCCAGCGAGGGACGUGGCAAGGCCCCACUUUACAGAUGAGGACGCGGAGCCUCAGUGAGGAAGUGACCUGUCCAGCCCGCCACCUUGCUAAGGGGCAGAGCCGGGUCUGGAAGCCAGGCGACUGUAAGGGAAGCACCUUCACUGGACAUGGUUACAGGCUGGCCGUUCUCGGUGCAGGCGAGUUCCUGCUAUAAAUAUGAAGCUGACUCCUGGUAACCUUAGCCUCCAGUCUCCCCUGCCCAGGCACAGGGCCAUAAAUCCCAGGGCGGACUACCUGCCACUGCGCUCCAUGCUGUGGAAUUUUCCUGACACUCUAACAAGGUACCACCUUUUUUUUUUUUUUUACAGGCUCCAAAUUAUUGGAAAUAAUUGGAGCCUGUAACAUUGGAGAAAUGUUGAGCUAGCUGUCUCCAAAUGAGAAGGGCCAUUGCUCACAGGAGAGCCAGAAAUACCUGCAAGAUGGCCAGCUUCCCCAUCCCCCAGGUAAGCAGGGUAGGACUUCCUGGAAGGGGCAUCUGAUCUGGGUUCUGCAUAAACAGGGUCCGGGAAGCUGGGUUCAAAGCCCAGCUCUACUAUUGACCAGCUGGGUGAACUUGCACAAGUCUGUCUGCCUCUCUGAGUUUCAGUUUCCUUAGUUAUACAGGGGAGUUCAUGCCACCCUCCUCCUGAGAUUAAACAGAGUGUCCACAAUGGCCAGGACACAGCAGACAGUUUGGUCCCUUCAUUUUCCUUUUUGGGUCGCAGCUUGUUUACUGGUUGAAUAAUGAAAACAACAGCUAUGAUUGCUAACAAUAAGCCUGGCAUUAUGUUCAGUGUG